GCCGGGGUAGCUCAGUUGGUUCAGAGCGCCAGUCUGUGGAACUGGAUGUCGACAGUUCAAAUCUGUCCCCCGGUA
rnacentral:tRNA from 1 species